GAUGAACGCUAGCGAUAGGCUUAACACAUGCAAGUCGAGGGGCAGCAUGGUCUUAGCUUGCUAAGACUGAUGGCGACCGGCGCACGGGUGCGUAACGCGUAUGCAACUUGCCUCACAGAGGGGGAUAACCCGUCGAAAGACGGACUAAUACCGCGUACACUUGGGAUAGGGCAUCCUGACCCAAGGAAAUGAAAUUCGCUGUGAGAUAGGCAUGCGUCCCAUUAGCUAGUUGGUGAGGUAACGGCUCACCAAGGCGACGAUGGGUAGGGGAACUGAGAGGUUGAACCCCCACACUGGUACUGAGACACGGACCAGGCUCCUACGGGAGGCAGCAGUGAGGAAUAUUGGUCAAUGGGCGAGAGCCUGAACCAGCCAAGUCGCGUGAAGGAUGACUGUCUUAUGGAUUGUAAACUUCUUUUAUACGGGAAUAACAAGGGCCACGUGUGGCUCCCUGCAUGUACCGUAUGAAUAAGCAUCGGCUAACUCCGUG
rnacentral:rRNA from 1 species